rnacentral:rRNA from 1 species
AGAGUUUGAUCCUGGCUCAGGACGAACGCUGGCGGCGUGCUUAACACAUGCAAGUCGAACGGAAAGGCCCUCACCUUGGUGGGGGUGCUCGAGUGGCGAACGGGUGAGUAACACGUGGGUGAUCUGCCCUGUACUUCGGGAUAAGCUUGGGAAACUGGGUCUAAUACCGGAUAGGACCAUGGUUUAGCAUCUCAUGGUGGAAAGAUUAUUGUUUUGGUGCAGGAUGAGCUCGCGGCCUAUCAGCUUGUUGGUGGGGUAAUGGCCUACCAAGGCGUCGACGGGUAGCCGGCCUGAGAGGGUGGACGGCCACAUUGGGACUGAGAUACGGCCCAGACUCCUACGGGAGGCAGCAGUGGGGAAUAUUGCACAAUGGGCGCAAGCCUGAUGCAGCGACGCCGCGUGGGGGAUGACGGCCUUCGGGUUGUAAACUCCUUUCGUUAGGGACGAAGCCGCACCUGUUUUGGGUGUGGUGACGGUACCUUUGUUAAGAAGCACCGGCUAACUACGUGCCAGCAGCCGCGGUAAUACGUAGGGUGCGAGCGUUGUCCGGAAUUACUGGGCGUAAAGAGCUCGUAGGUGGUUUGUUGCGUCGUCUGUGAAAUUCCGGGGCUUAACUUCGGGGUGGCAGGCGAUACGGGCAUAACUAGAGUGCUGUAGGGGAGACUGGAAUUCCUGGUGUAGCGGUGGAAUGCGCAGAUAUCAGGAGGAACACCGAUGGCGAAGGCAGGUCACUGGGCUGUUACUGACGCUGAGGAGCGAAAGCGUGGGGAGCGAACAGGAUUAGAUACCCUGGUAGUCCACGCCGUAAACGUUGGGCACUAGGUGUGGGGGGCCUUUUCCGGGUUUUCCGCGCCGUAGCUAACGCAUUAAGUGCCCCGCCUGGGGAGUACGGCCGCAAGGCUAAAACUCAAAGGAAUUGACGGGGGCCCGCACAAGCGGCGGAGCAUGCGGAUUAAUUCGAUGCAACGCGAAGAACCUUACCAAGGCUUGACAU